rnacentral:rRNA from 1 species
AUGGCUCAGAGCGAACGCUGGCGGCAGGCCUAACACAUGCAAGUCGAACGGAUCCUUCGGGAUUAGUGGCGGACGGGUGAGUAACACGUGGGAACGUGCCCUUUGGUUCGGAACAACUCAGGGAAACUUGAGCUAAUACCGGAUGUGCCCUUCGGGGGAAAGAUUUAUCGCCAUUGGAGCGGCCCGCGUCUGAUUAGCUAGUUGGUGAGGUAAAGGCUCACCAAGGCGACGAUCAGUAGCUGGUCUGAGAGGAUGAUCAGCCACAUUGGGACUGAGACACGGCCCAAACUCCUACGGGAGGCAGCAGUGGGGAAUCUUGCGCAAUGGGCGAAAGCCUGACGCAGCCAUGCCGCGUGAAUGAUGAAGGUCUUAGGAUUGUAAAAUUCUUUCACCGGGGACGAUAAUGACGGUACCCGGAGAAGAAGCCCCGGCUAACUUCGUGCCAGCAGCCGCGGUAAUACGAAGGGGGCUAGCGUUGCUCGGAAUUACUGGGCGUAAAGGGAGCGUAGGCGGACUGUUUAGUCAGAGGUGAAAGCCCAGGGCUCAACCUUGGAAUUGCCUUUGAUACUGGCAGUCUUGAGUACGGAAGAGGUAUGUGGAACUCCGAGUGUAGAGGUGAAAUUCGUAGAUAUUCGGAAGAACACCAGUGGCGAAGGCGACAUACUGGUCCGUUACUGACGCUGAGGCUCGAAAGCGUGGGGAGCAAACAGGAUUAGAUACCCUGGUAGUCCACGCCGUAAACGAUGAGUGCUAGUUGUCGGCAUGCAUGCAUGUCGGUGACGCAGCUAACGCAUUAA